rnacentral:misc_RNA from 1 species
GAAAUGCGAUAAGUAAUGUGAAUUGCAGAAUUCAGUGAAUCAUCGAAUCUUUGAACGCACCUUGCGCUCCUUGGUAUUCCUUGGAGCAUGCCUGUUUGAGUAUCAUGAAAUCUUCAAAGUAAAUCUUUUGUUAACUCAAUUGGUUUCUACUUUGGUAUUGGAGGUCUUUGCAGCUUCACACCUGCUCCUCUUUGUUCAUUAGCUGGAUCUCAGUGUUAUGCUUGGUUCCACUCGGCGUGAUAAGUUAUCUAUCGCUGAGGACACUGUAAAAGGUGGCCAAGAUAAAUGCAGAUGAGCCGCUUCUAAUAGUCCAUUGACUUGGACAAUACUUUUAUGAUCUGAUCUCAAAUCAGGUAGGACUACCCGCUGAACUUAAGC